rnacentral:rRNA from 1 species
CAAUAGAUACCCCGGUAGUCCACCGCCGUAAACGAUGAGUGCUAAGUGUUAGAGGGUUUCCGCCCUUUAGUGCUGCAGCUAACGCAUUAAGCACGUCCGCCGUGGGGAGUACGGCCGCAAGGCUAGAAACUCAAAGGGAAUUGACGGGGGCCCGCACAAGCGGUGGAGCAUGUGGUUUAAUUCGAAGCAACGCGAAGAACCUUACCAGGUCUUGACAUCCUCUGACAACCCUAGAGAUAGGGCUUUCCCCUUCGGGGGACAGAGUGACAGGUGGUGCAUGGUUGUCGUCAGCUCGUGUCGUGAGAUGUUGGGUUAAGUCCCGCAACGAGCGCAACCCUUGAUCUUAGUUGCCUAGCUAUUCAGGUUGGGCGACGUACGUAAGGUGGACUGGACCGGUAGACGAAACCGGAGGAAGGUAGGGGAGUGACGGUACAAAUCAUCAUCGCCCUUAGUCGACCGUGGGCUACACACGUGCUACAAGUGGA